GGAUUUUCUUUCUAUUGUUUAUUUUUCUUCUUUAUCCCAGUGCAUGUUAUACUUAAAAUGCAUACAUGCAUGUCUUUUGCACUUCUAUGUUUCCCAUCCAUCCAGUGUUUCCAUUCUCAUUGUAUUGGUCCCUCCAUCAGAAAUUACAUGAGAUCCGCCUCUGAGGAAGCAAGAUAGCAAGAAGCAACAG